rnacentral:tRNA from 1 species
GGGGUUGUGGCUUAGUGGUAGAGUGCUUAUCUUGCACAUGUGAGGCCCUGGGUUCCAUUCUCAGCACCACA